AUGAGUCGCCGAAUUCAGGCUGCCACUGUCGAGGAUGAAGACGACCUACCGGGCUGCCUUGCUCGGGGACAACCACGAUGCAAGGGAAAACAACGCCGCCAGCAUCCUCACAAUCGAUGUGGAUCCAAGCUGGCUCCGGGAGACGAGAUCCACGCCCACAUCGCCUCCAAGGACGCUAACGACGACGACACAGUCAAGAUCGGCAAGCUCGCAUCCUCCAUGGCGCGGCUUCUCAUCGAGCCCUACUGCCCCUCCGUCUCUGUUGACCGGCCUGAGAGAUCGAGGAGGCGUACAGCGAGCCAAACUAGGCUCACCCCGUGGCCGCACCAGUGA
rnacentral:rRNA from 1 species